CUGCUUCGAUUUUUAUCAAAAUUUUACAGUAUAAUACUAUUAUGAAAAUAUGUUCUUAGUAAAAUUUUGAGCCAUUUUCUAUAAAUACUUUCAAAGUUGUAGCAGUUUGAAUAUGAAAAAAAAUGACCGGGUGCCACUUAAGCAAAUAUAACUUUGUAACGGCUGGAUCAAAUUGAAUGAAAUUUUUACACAACAUUUUGAUAUGUAUACAGAAAAAUUGUCAUUGAAAUUGGUUCAGUAUUUCUGGCUCUAUAAAUAAAAGAGUAAAAAUGUGUUCUUAUUUUUUAAUCCUCUUUGUACAAAAUUUUAAAAUUGCAGUUUUCAGGAUUCACAAUAUCUCUCCGCAAAUACUAAACUGAUUUUGAUGAAAAUUUUAUAGUAUAAGCUACAUAUAAUGUACCAUUACUGGUUCAAAUAUCAGCUGUUUUGGUGUACGCAGUCUCAAGUUAAAAAACAAAUUGUGUGACCAAAUUUUGACCGUAUCACCCUUUAACUCAAUUUUGCCCAAAAUGCAGAUGGGACUGACUUGCGAUUCACGGCAGUAUAGAUCAUGUUGGAAAAUUACCUGAGAAAACUUAAAGAUUUAUUAUAAGCAUAAAUUCUGUAACUCCCGCAGAAUUUUGUUGAUGCAUUGGAACUCCUUGCGGUUAUAUGCCAAUGCCCAAGUGCUUCGACACCCUAAUUAGAAAUACUCAUGGGCGAUUAAUCGACUUAUAGGUUUGAUCAUAUAUGUAGAAGGAAAUUGGAACUGGAAUGUCCUUAUUUAAUUUGCUUUUAACUUUUUAACAUAAAUUUGUAUUUACCCAUCAUUAUCACUUUUGUUAGAUAAAUAGCGCAUUGUUAUAUUCCAUAGUCCAACAAUGUAACCAACGAAUGAUGACAAAUCAAUGCGAUUUAUCUUUACACUUCCGUUGCUGGCAGGAAUGAGACGAUCUUCUAUGUUAUGGCAUGGCAUUAGGUUUCCAUCAUCAAGUAUCCGAGUAGUUAUUUCAAUCGUUAUAUAUGGGUCCAAUUGGAGAACGAGGAAGUAAUACUUCCUAUAGACAACUGGCAAGGAUACCAGCCAGCCAGCGCUUUGUCCCGACGACAGUAACCUAAUGCGACAUCAUCAUCGUGACGCCUAGUCACCUUGAAGGCGCUGCUGCUACCUACUAGUAAACAUCUUCUAGACAGUCAUUUAAUCAAUUUAGAUUGAUUAAAAUUGCAUUAGGUAUAGGUACAUGCGUCGCCACGAAUGUCGAUGCUGCGCUGCUGAUCGAUCUAAUCGGUAUCAGUUUUCCAAUUCAUGCUCGGUGAUAGGAAACGUCACGCGGCCCGUGCGUCAGGAAUGUGAAAUCUUUCCGUGGUAGGAAGAUAAUGAAUUGAGCUUAUAUGGAGCCGAGUACUUUACAGGGGCAUAACGAUCAUGAUGAUGAUGAUGAUAAUGAUAUGACAAUGAUGGUGGCAGCCUAAUUAUCACAAGCUUGCGUGAAGGCCAUGUCGUUGAACAAAUUGGUCGAAUGGGGAUUUCCCGUUCUAGUCAACAAGGACUGAAAAAUGGAAUUUGGAUAGUUUUGUAGGGUGCAUAGUAAUUUUCUCAGAGCAGGUUCCACUAAGUAACAACUUGUUGAAACAUAUUAACUAUUCCGUGUAUUCCAAACCAUUCUGGUAUUGCCUUUUCCUGACAGAGGGUUAUCUUUCUGACUACAAUGAAGUUUAAUUACCAUAGCUUAAAAAAGUUACAUUUUAACGAGAUAAGACAGCACAAGAAUGGAAUACCGGUGUGGUAUGAAGUGAAGGAUCCGGUACUACAGAACAAAUAGGAAACUCAAUUAAAAGAUACCAAGCCACAUUUUUUCCACUCAUAGCGCUAGUUGCGAGAUAAUACGUCAUUGUAAUCGUUGUGAAGUGGAAACAUGAAGAGAUGAUUUACGCAAAUUAUGAGUCGGAUAUUGUUUGUAAGAAUUAUUGAUUGAUGCAUUGAUUAGGGACGAAGUAACUAUAUAUAUAGUAGUGAAACCACAAAAUCACAACGAAACCCUCGUAUUCUAGGUUAACAUGAGUUCAGUAAAAUGACCCAAUUUUCAAUAUGUACUGAUAAGAAGAUGUUAAAAUCUAACAGAAUAUGGUCAAAUCAUAUUGCAAAAACGUAAUAUGCGAUCGAUGCAAUCAUGCUCAUGAGGGAUAGGUAAACAAAUUGAUAAAAUUGAUUAACCCCAUCAGCACUUGUCGUAAGACUUGCAAUGUUGUGACAACAUUUUAAUUAACAUUAAUUUAGAAUACUGGCAAUACUGUUUCCAGAGCAGUGGUCCCCAACUUGAAGCUCACGUGUCAAUCGUAGUCUUCAAUUGUGUCUACAGGGCAAAUGAAAUAUUUUCAAUUUGAAGUUUUAUCAAUAGUUUCAUAUUAAUGAUUCAUUAAUCAGAGCUAAAAUUGUAGUUUACGCAACAAGAUGCAGAAUGGAGAUUUUUACAGCACGAGUCGUACAUUUAUCCAAAGAGGCUUGUUGAGUUGGAUAAUUACGACAAGUGCUGUAAAAAUCGAGUUCUGCACCGAGUUGCGUACAAUGUUUUUUGCAAUGUUAUAAAUUACCGUUUGAGAAUAGUUUUUAACAAAACUUUUUUAUCAAACUGCACACUGAUGUUCAUAGCCAAGAAAGUUUGAUCAUAGCAGGUUAUACUGUGUUGUUUUUUUUUCACAAUUUUUCAAAACUGCGUCCAGAAAGCAUGAAGAAGUUGAUCGAAAAUAAAAUCAGUGCUGUAAUGGUUCAUUACGCAACGCAAAUCAGUGCUGUAAUGAAGCAUUACAGCACUUCUAAUUUGGUGUGGGAAAGUAGGCCUCCUGUCAAAUUUGCGUGAGGUAAAACAGCCUCUUACGAUGAGAAAUUGCAAAAAAAAAAAAUUAGAAAACCGCUUACAUUACCGUGGAACGAGGUAACUUUGAUUAUGCGGAUAACACGAAUAAAGCUGGAUGAAUUUUAUGUUUUAUACUAGAAAUUCCCGGCCAUUGCCUACUGCGAUACUUGACGUUCUACGUCCAAGUCACCGUUAAAAAUGUAUGAAAAGACUAUUUUGAUACAUUUUGAUCACCAUUCUGAUGAUGACCCCAAACUUUCGGCCGUUGACAUCAAUAGUUCAUCUACUAAAUAAUAUAUUUUCUAGAUUUUUUGGUGCGCUCGGUAAAAGGCAGUUGACUGCUAAUAAAAAUAGAGUUCUACACUGCUGCCAUUUUUAAAUAUGGCUAACUCAAUUUCCAGCGACUCUGCGUUGAGGUUUAAUUUAUAUUCUGAAAGGUUUUUUAAGUACAGGUUCUUUGAUUUUUCGAGUGUGUAUGAGAUUGGUACUUUACAAUGAUAGGGAAUCGCGCCACUUGGGCGGUGGCUUCUAUAUUCGUCUGUUUUCCACUAUAACUCAGUCAAAUUUGAACCAAUUGACAUAACUUUUGGAAUGUGUUGAGAUAGGUAUAGUAUCUACCCGUGUACAACAUUUCAAGUUAAUUGGUUCAAAAUUGACUGAGUUAUAGUGGAAAACAGACAAAUAUAGAAGCCAUCGCCCGAGUGGCGCGAUACCCUAUGUUUGAUCAACCCGAAACAAACAGGUCUACAAAUAGUUGUCUUAUCUAAUUCAAUCUAAACACAUACGCAGCCAGUACGAGAAAACAUCCUGGAAAAUUUUUGGGGUGGAUUACACCCUUUUCACAGAACAGAUGUGUAUCUUCGAACAAAUGUGAAGUUUCGAGGUGGAAGUCGUGAAAUUGUCACUUGGAAAACUAGAUUGGAAUGAAUUUCCAUGGGAAAAUAAAAAAUCAUCAAAGCGUGCUGCGCCGCCUCCCUAUGCUCGCUGCAGGCUAAAGCUUGACUUCCACCACCAGGUUCGCUAGUGUUGAGCUAUCUAACGGGCAGUGCUUUUCGUGGCGAAGAUUCACCCCCGUGCCCUUUUCCUUGUCAGUCUUGAUGCUUGCAGCAUAUCAAUUAUGAUACAAGCAUCAAGGCCAAGCCUACUGCGUCGUGUUUACCACGGUGUACAACAUCUAGAAGGUAAUACAUUACAUUUGUACAUUUUGCACGGCGACGUCAUGAAUGAACGUUAGGUUCAUUUUCGUUAGUCCUGUCCUCUUCCCUCUUACACGAAUUUUAAGACUUUCCGGUGAUUUGUUUUGAUUCCCAUUCGUUGCCGUUUUCUUCUUUCGGGGAGAAAAUUGACGAUAAAUAUCUAUGCCAAACUCAAUUCCAGAAAUCUAUGUUUUGAUGACGUUUUUCAAAUCUUUCAUUGAGUUUUGCAUAGAAAUUUAACCUCAACUUUCUCCCCGAGAGAGAAGAAAACGACAACGAAUGGGAAUCAAAACAAACCACCGGAAAGUGUCAAAAUUCGUGUAAGAGGGAAGAGGGCAGGAAGAACAAAAAUUAACCUAACGUUCAUUCAUGACGUCACCGUGUGAAAUCCAGUAAAAACUUCUAUCACUAUGCGAAAAACAGAACCACAACCAUUCGCACCCAAAUCUUGCCAAAUAUAAACACAGAAAUAAACGUCUAACAUAGAAAAGAUUCAAAUAUUGAAUAACACAAUCGGAUUAAACUCACCGGUUCCUAAAGUUAAGUUUCUACGCAAUUCAAUAAAAGUUAGAAACCCCCUUUUAUGCAUUAAAUUCAGAUUAAUGGUUAUUGUUUAGUUGCACCCUUGCUGAUGCCAACUGGCUUCAGCACAUGUUUUCGGAAAAUUCUUGACAAUACGAUUGCAAACUUGCCACAUGCUUCAAAUAAUCCGCUACAACAGGAAAUUCAAAAGUGUCUUGAACUUGAAUUCCACCACAAUUUUUAAUUGGUUUUACAAAACCAAUAGAAAACAAUGACAGAGCAGCCCAAUUCCACGUCUUCACUUCUUCACGGCACACUUCGAUGUAUCAACAGGUCUACAAAGAGUUAUUGUUAACAAUCAAUCCCACUUCAGGUAAAAUGCCCACAAAAUAGAAGACACUAUUGUUGUGAAACCUCGACUCUCUGGGCGAGAGAAGAAUACUUUCAUUUCAUCUUCUAUAAUUGAUUGUUAGUUUGUUCCAUUCUUACUAGUUCUGUUCGAAUUAUCGAGGCUCGUUACAAAUAUUAUAUUUUAUUCGUCAUGUGUAGUUAUCGCACGAGAGCUUUCAAUCACGCUGAAACAUAAAAUGUGCUUUGGUACAGUUAACGGUUACAGACCAACCGUAUAGCUGGUAAUGAUUUUAUGUCUUCGUUCCUAGGUAGUUAGCAAUUAUUUGCUUUCGUAAUGGUGACAGCGCGGAUAGUACAUCGUUAUAGACGGAAUUCAACAGCUUUUUUCUUCCUAUACGUUGGGCUCAACACUGCUUAUCGAUGGACACUUAUCAUCAUCGCAUAUGCUUAUGACAGCAAGUUGCCAACGCAUUUCGCUGCAGCUGUUACGAUUCUCCGAGAAAUUGCACAAUUGUGUAAUUUAUCAUGUUAUGACAGCGCCCGGCUAAAUAGAGCAAUUUUCUCUUGCUCAUAGCAUAAACAGCUAUCCGUCAUCAUCGUAACAGCUAAAAAGAUAUCAAAACAACAACGGUCGCGAAUCUGGUUUGUUCAAGUAUAGAGGCACUAAAAUUGAUAGUGACUCAGCUCUGUUUCAUUUUCGCAUUUUAAUCAACAUGUUGCUGUUAUCAACUUUGGGAUGUGAAUUGUGGUAUGUCAGAGGACAUUAAAAGAGUUCAUCAUUUUGCAGUAUUGAUGUUCAAAUGAUUCAUAAUAAUUUCACCAUGUGAUAGUCAUUUAGAUGCUCACCAUAUGACAUAUGGCAUGCACGUACCAAAUGAAUGACCCUGUACUUUGAAGUGAUGAUGCGGUGACUGACCAUAAAUUGCGAAAGUUUCAAAACACAAUCAAACCAAAACAUCUCUUCUAGAAAUCACGUUUCAGCGAUAGAUUGCUAAUUGAAGUACGGUGUGAAUAGCAUGUGGUUGAGAGACAAACAGGCGCAAGUGCGCUGGAAGAUUGAGAAUCUUCAGUUGACAUAAACAACUGAGGUGGCUUAUCUAUAGGUAGUUUUGUACAAUAACUGCUGUUUGGAGGCAAAUUCCAUUGCAAUUAACAAAUUCCAUUAUAUGUCAUAUAUACCAUACUGUAAUUCGAGGUAACAUGGGAAAAUUUCUUUUGGAUUUUCAUUAACGAAUUGCCUAUAUAUAACUAAGACGCCUCUUAGUUAAUAUUUGGCUUGAGAAUUGGUCAAAAGAUUUAGAUACAUAGUCAGCUCGCCAAAACUCGAUAUUUGAUGAAUCAGUUAUGAAGACGAGCGAUAUGCAAAAGUGCGUGAUUAUUUGGAUGCCGAUCGCUGAAAGAAGUGCAAUGAACACAAAUUCAUUAAUAAACUUUAGCAUAAUAAUGGGUAAUUUUUAUUCGAUGUUCGCAACAUCUAUGUUUUUGUUCCGAUUAAUCGAUUUUUUGAAUCGAUGUUGAAGCCCCACGAAAUCGACCGAAUCGAUUUUUUACAUUCGAUUUUUCUUUCGGUUCAAAAAUAUCAAAUUUUUGUUUUUUAGAAUGCACUAUAGAAUGUUAUCUUUAAAAAAUACAUAAAAUCGAGAUAAAAUGUACAUAAAAUCGAGGGUCUAUAUAAUCUAAGGUCCACUUAAUUGAGCAAUACCCAUAUAUUUCAGGUUUAUUGGGCAAUCCCUCCCCUAAAAGUCUAGGUGAAUCUUUAUAAAAAUUCUGGAGAAAUCCUUCUUAUGGUCGAGAACGCCUUUUUCAGAAUUCUUGCGCAUCCUUCUCAGGUUUCUAGGUCAGUUCAUCUCUGGAUUCCGAUUUUUUUUUUUUUUUUUUUUUUGAGAAUCCCUCUCAGGAUUCUAGAUAAAUUUCCCUUGAAAAUGUGGAUCCCCUCUUAGGAUCCCUGUCACGGUUCUUGAGCAAUCUCUUUCAGGAUUCUAAUGGGAUGUCAUUCAAAACUGCAGGAGAAUUUCUCCAGGGUUCUAGGAGAAUCUCUCUCAGGAUUCUGGAAGAAUCCUCCAGAGAGUUCUACCUAAUCAGAAUUCUAGGGAAUCUCUGGAUUCUAAGGGAAUUCAUUUCAGGAUUUUGGGAUAUUCACUACCCAGGUUCCCUACCAAGGGUGAAAUCCCUUUCAGGAUUCUAAGAAAUUUCUGGAUGAUCAGGGUUGAUUCCUCCAAGGAUUCUGGAAGACCCUCACUUAGAAUCCCACUCAGAAUUCUGAGGAAAUUUUUCUCAGCAUUCUUAGAAACAUGUAGUAGAUUUCUCGUAGAUUCAUACUGAGAAUUCUAAGAGUUGUGACGAAAUUCCUUUCAGAAUUCUGGGGAAUUAUUUCUUAGGAUUCUGGGAGAAUCUCACUCAGGAUUCUAGUAGUAUCCUUCUCAGGAAUCUACGUAAGAUCCUUUUGAGAUGCAGGGGAAAAAUAUCAUUAAGUAUUUCGCGGGUACUCUUCCCAAGAAUCUCUGAACAUUCGGUUUCCUGGGGUAAUCCCCGUCAGGAUUCUGGGGAAAUUUCUCUCAAGAUUCUGAGGAAUUCGUAUCAUGCUUCUGGAGAAAUCCUUUGGAUUCUGGGGCUAUAUUUUUCAAGAUUCUAAGGAACUUGCUUACAAAGUUGUUAAUUAUUGAAGAAUCUUUCACGAGAUCCUGAUUUCUAGAAAUAUUUCUCUCAAAAAUCUGGAAGAACCCCUGUUAUGAUCCAUCUCAGGAUUCUGGGGAAUACCUUUCGGGAUUCUGGCAGAAUAACUCUCAGCACUCUAAAGGGUUUCACCCAGGAUUUUAGGGGAAUUCUGGGAACAAGUAUUCUUUAAGUAAAGAUAAGGGGGUGAGGAUUCUGGAGGAAUGCUUCUCAGGAUUCUGGAAGAAUCCUAUGUUUUAUAAUUCUGUGAGAGUAUAUCUCAGGUUUUUUUGGUAAUCCCGCCCAGUAUUUUGAGGGAACCUUUCUCUGGAUUCUGGAGCAAUCCUUUUUGGGAUUCUAAGCUACCCUUUUCAGGAUUCUGGGUCAUUUCUUUUAAAUUUCUUCGGCGAUUCAUCUUAAAAUUCCGAAAAUCUUUUUUUGUGAGAAUCUCUCAGUAUUCUAGAUGAAUUUAUCUCAAUAAUGUGGAAGAACUGCUCUUGGGAUUCCUCUCAGGACUCUGGGAGUAUCCCUCUUGGGAUUCUGGAACAUUUUCUUUCUUUUAGGAUUCUGAGAAAAUCUAUAACAGGAUUCUGAGAGAUUCCUCUUGGACUAUGAGACAAUCCGUCUCAUAGAUAUGGAGUAAUCUCUCUCAGGAAAAUCCUUAGUAGAAUUCAGAGAGAAUUUCUCCCAAGAUACCGGCUUUCUUUUCUAGUGAAAGUCUCUUAAAUAAAGACAAAUCAAUCAAAUUUAUUUUCUAGGUAAUGUCACUUAGGAUUCUGGUGAUUUUCAGCAUUCUGGAGACAUCCCUCUCAUAAUUCAAGAGGAACUCCUUUCAGAAUUCUGGAGGAGUCUCUUCAAAGAUUCUGAGGAAAUUUCUCUCAGCAGUCUGCGGGAAUCCAUCCUAGUACUAUAUGAGAACACUUCUCAGAGUUUUGGGGAACCUCAGGAUCUCAGAUUUUUUCUUUCAAUUCAAAAAUAUUAGUUUCAUUUUUUUUCGGAAUACACUGUUUCGAAUCAGAGUCGCAAAAUGUGCGAUGUGCAAUCUCAAAUUUUGAUAUUGAAUUUAUUUAGACAAAUAAAACAUACCACGAACUUACUACAUGCAGCAAACGAAUCAUUUUAUGUUUUGUAAUAUUUUACAAAUAUCGAAUCGAUGUAAAAACAUCGAUUCAAAGCAUUCGAUUAAAUCGGUGAAUGGAUUCUGCUGAUCUGAUUCGAAUCGAUUCACAAAAAUCGAUGUCUCAGCCAGAUUUGCCCAAUGCUGAUGGGAUAUGUUUUGUAAAUGUAAGAAGUCAGUUUUUUUUUUCAAAUGUAGGCUCAGUGUACCAGUUCUGGUUAUAGUACCUCGAGUCUGCCAUGGAAUACAAAUCAAUUAGAAAAAUGUUGUGAACAAAAGAUCAUGUUCACAAAAGAUGAUUAAAUUCAUACAAACUUCACAAUGUGAAGUUUACAUUUUGCUCAUAUUAUGGUAGAAAUAAAUCAUUUUCUUUAAAAUUUUGGGCUUCCAUGUACCCUAUUUCGCCAUGGUGUACCAGUUAUGGCUAAUCCCAUUAAGCAAUGCAGGUAAAUAGUGCGAAGUGGAACCGAAAUUAAAAAAUGCGUCCAUAGCUGGUACAGGGUUUCUAUCAUGAUUGGCUCACGCCGUAAUAAAUACUAAAAGUAGUUUUGGCUCCGUUUCUAUAUUGUUCCUAUAAAGUAUGAAAACAGAGCCGGGACCCGUAGCGUAGUGGCUACACGCUCACUUCAUAAGUGGAUGGUCAUGGGUUCGAUCCCAGCCCCGGCACUUGCAAUUUUUCGUCAGUUGCUCUUCCCUCCCGAGAGCAGCUGACAUCUUCUGAGUAUAUAUGCUCUAACAGACCCGGAAACUUGGAUAUCGGUUAACGGCAACUCAUAAUGACCCCCAAUCGGACUGGAAAUGGAACAAGAGCCGCACAGCAACAUCGAUGCUCAUCAUUCUACUAUGGACAGGGUUAAAAAGUGAUAGCAGCGCAAAGGCUUAUCAGUUCGAAUUAGAAUUAGUGGAAUUAGAGUAGAAUACAUUUAGGCGCUGUGCAAAAAGUGUAAGUGCAGCCGCUCACGCAGUGCCCUAGUGGACAAAAGAGUUGUAAAUUAGGUUAAGUGGUUGAAGAAUAAAAAAAAGUAUGAAAACAAAUCAAUCAUUUGACAGGUCUUCUUAGUUUGUAGGAAUAGUUUUCCUUAGGUAGAUAGAUAACUGUUACAGGCACCCUACUACAAUGUUUUUCUGUAUGAUCAUCUGUGUGUUCUCAAAAUAGGAUUGUGGUAUUUCGUGUAUCUUUUGAUUUUUUUCGGAAUUCAGGUUAAAAAAGUCUACAUACAUGGGAUACACAACAAUGAUCGGGACAGGCAAAAUUAUCACUUUUCAAAAAAUGGUGAACUAGCUGUAACUUUUUAAAAAGUGCGUCAAAAAUUCUCAACUUUUCACUGUUAGUUGGUCAACUAGUUGUCUAUUAAUGGUCCGAAUUUGAGAAAGAUCGAGCUAUUCUACAUAAAAUAGGAAAGAUUCUAUUAAAAGGAAUAAUUAUCCGAUAGCCAAUAUCUCCGGAUUCAAUGAACCGAAAGCAAUGAAAUUUUGAUCAUUCAUGACUUAUAUAAUAAGCUUUGAGAAAUGUUUGACUUAAGGCGAAACUGGAAGUUUUUUCUCAUUUUUUUGGUUUUUGAUUUUUUAUAAAAUAAUGAAGCAAUAUUUUCAAAAUCGGGUUUCGUACACAUGUAGAGUAUGGAUCAAGGUAUCUCCUGAAAUUUUUUGAGGUUGGAAAUGUUU